rnacentral:tRNA from 1 species
AUAAAAGAUAAGCUAAAUAAGCUAAUGGGCUCAUACCUCAUUUAUGAGAAGAUAUCUCUCUUUUU